rnacentral:lncRNA from 1 species
GGCUCUGUUUGGUAAAAAUAGCGGAUAGCUGAUAAGCUAGCUGAUAGCUUUUAGCUGAUAAGCUAGCUGAUAGCUUUUAGCUGAUAAGCUAACUGAAGUGUUUGAUAAAAAUAGCGGUUCAACUAGCUGAUAAAUGUAAAAUGACAUAAAGGGUAUUCUUAAUUCAUAAUAAAAAUUAUAUCAUUAAUUUAAGUAUUUGUAAUUUUGUAAACUAAUUUUUCUUUAAAAAAAUACUUUAAAUUUAUUAAUUUAAUAUAUCCUAUGUAUUA